rnacentral:rRNA from 1 species
GACGAACGCUGGCGGCGUGCUUAACACAUGCAAGUCGAACGAAGUGGCGAACGGGUGAGUAACGCGUAAUCAACCUGCCCUUCAGAGGGGGACAACAGUUGGAAACGACUGCUAAUACCGCAUACUGAAGGAGGGGAUUGCGUCUGAUUAGCUAGUUGGAGGGGUAACGGCCCACCAAGGCGAUGAUCAGGAGCCGGGUCUGAGGGAUUAACGGCCACAUUGGGAAUGGGACACGGCCCAGAAUCCUACGGGAGGCAGCAGUGGGGAAACUUCCGCAAUGGACGAAAGUCUGACGGAGCGACGCCGCGUGAGUGAUGACGGCCUUCGGGUUGUAAAGCUCUGUUAAUCGGGACGCGGUACCGGAAUAGAAAGCCACGGCUAACUACGUGCCAGCCGCCGCGGUAAUAC